AAGUCGUAACAAGGUUUCCGUAGGUGAACCUGCGGAAGGAUCAUUAACACGUAUCUUAAAACAAUACGUUUUUUAUCUUUCAAAUUCAUUUUGAAAACCCCCUUUUUUGUAUCAUUCUAAACUUUUAAUAGUCGUUCCUGUAUUGGGAGUGACUCUAAAUAACUUAAAAAAAGAACAACUCUUAACAACGGAUAUCUUGGUUCUC
rnacentral:misc_RNA from 1 species